GCCACUACAAUGGCAGCCGUUUCUCUUACUCCCAUUACCCGACGGGUAAAUGUGAGAGCUGGAGCUGCGAUAUCCAUAGCAAAUCCAUUGAGAAGACAAUAUGCAGACAACCUCAACCUCCUUGCAGAUUUACCAACCCUACUGCGCCAUUCCCCGACUGCUGCAAGACAACCUGCCCUACGCGGAAGUAUUUCUGCAUCUCACCGAGCAAAGAAAAGAUGAAGGAUGGAGAAGUCCUGUAUUCGACAGAGUCAUGCGCGCGGUACACCUGCGCUGGAGGAAACGUCAUCACGGAGCAGUAAGUGGGUCGCAUUGACAGAUAUUCAAAUGUUCUUAUCUUUAUGCGAGAAGCCGAAAAUCUGUCGCGUUUAAACGACGCAUUACGUAGGGACUGGGACAGCAGACGUGGCCACGCUGAAAGCCGUUAGUGACGUCACCGUGUUACGCAUUAGCGACGCUUUUGUGUCGGAACUUGCAAACGUACAGCUUAGGAUAAAGUGUGACGCACAAGAUACUGCGAAGAAGCCGUUAUUAUAUAAGAGAAAAGUGAAGUUGGAUUCAUUGCAGUUCAUAUAGGAGUGGGCUGGCUGCGAAACAUUAAUUUUCUGACAAGCGAGUUUCGGAACAGAUACAUUUUUAGAAAAAAUAAAUUCGACGAAUACCGCUGUGAAGAAGCGUGCACGCUUCAAUUCGUUAUGCGUGGCUUCCUCCAAAACACACGCAGAGGAAAAAGAAAGGCGUCUACAGACGGCAACUUCCAAUGAUAUUUUCUUGCCUCUCAUCUUUGCAAUGAACCGAAAAAAAAAAAAACAUGUCAAUUUCGCAUUUUGUAACCACACAUGAACUGGUGUCAGUCAAGUUAGGCUAUACAUACUCAAAAGAACGUAUAUGCCAAAAGAAGCGAACUACAAAUUAUACAGACAAUUGAAGACAAAUAAUAAAAAACUGAAAAAAAAGCGCAGUUGGCAUCAAGAGACAGAUGCUCACCACUUCUUUAUUCAUUGGGCAAGACUGCAAGUGUCACUACAUUUGGGAUUGAUUCUUACUUUCUAUAUUCGACUCCUUUCUUUUUUAAUUGCUUGCUUCCAUUGCCUGAACACGUGCCAUAUAUGCGUGUCGUACAAUAUGUCCUGUAGCGCCCGCUACACAUUGCUCAUUGUGCUGAUUACUACAUCGCGCUGACGGUAAGUAAUCGUCACUCUAUGCAGUAUGGGCGUAUGUUCUGACUUGUUCAUUUGUUUGCCUCAUUUUUGUAUUUCACAGUCGAACGUUACGGAAGAGCCGGCAACGACAGUUGCCACUGUACUUCCAAUAUGACAAGUAGAAAAUGGACAGUCGGCUUGGCUGCGCCAACCGCGGAAUAGCGCGCGAAUAGCUGCGAUGCUGGUGUAUGCAACGUCCGCAGUGUAUAGUCGGGCUUGUCGCUGUUCGUCCGUUUCGGCAGCAGCAGCAGCGCUUGGCACGCUUGCGCAAUCCGUCGUUUCUCCGAUCGCCUUAGGUCGUUGGAUGGGCAGUGUCGCUGGCACGUUUCAACGCCGCGAAUUGACUGCUUCGUUGCUGCUGUUGC